UGCAAGUUGAGCGAAGCUUUUUGGUAGUUUAUUACUAGAAAUGACUGAGCGGCGAACGGGUGAGUAACGCGUGAGCAAUCUACCUUAGUUACUGGGAUAGCCCGAGGAAACUCGGAUUAAUACCGGAUAUUCUUAUUUUUUCACAUGAAGUUUUAAGGAAAGGUCAGCCGAACUAAGAUGAGCUCGCGUUCUAUCAGCUAGUUGGUGGGGUAAAAGCCUACCAAGGCUACGACGGAUAGCUGGUCUGAGAGGACGAUCAGCCACACUGGGACUGAGACACGGCCCAGACUCCUACGGGAGGCUGCAGCAGGGAAUAUUGUGCAAUGAGCGAAAGCUUGACACAGCGACACCGCGUGUGGGAUGACGGUUCUAGGAUUGUAAACCACUUUCAGGAGGGAAGAAAAUGACGGUACCUCCACAAGAAGACCCGGCCAA
rnacentral:rRNA from 1 species